GACAGAGGGGGCAAGCGUUGCUCGGAAUUACUGGGCGUAAAGGGCGCGUAGGCGGGAUGGCAAGUCGGUCGUGAAAUCCCUCGGCUCAACCGAGGAACGUCGAUCGAUACUGCUGUUCUUGAGGAUUGCAGAGGAGACUGGAAUUCCCGGUGUAGCGGUGAAAUGUGUAGAGAUCGGGAGGAACACCGGUGGCGAAGGCGGAUCUCUGGGCCAUUACUGACGCUGAGGAGCGAAAGCGUGGGGAGCGAACAGG
rnacentral:rRNA from 1 species